GGCGGAGCUUGUCGGGGAGGCUCCGGCCGCGCAGGAGCCCAUGGCGGGGUGGGGGGAGGCUCAGGCUUGGUGGGCUGCAGGUCCCGAGCCCUGCCCCGCGAGGAGGCAGCUAAGGCCCGGCAAGAAGUCGAGCACUGCAGCUGCUGGCCCAGGUGUUAAGCCCCUCACUGCCCGGGGCCGACGGCUCCGAGUUCAGGGCCUGCCGAGUCCACGCCCACUCAGAACUCGCGCUGGCCAGUAAGCGCGGCGCGCAGCUCCGGUUCCCGCCCGCGCCUCUCCCUCCACCCCUCUCCGCAAGCUGAGGGAGCCGGCUCCGGCCUUGGCCAGCCCAGAAAGGGGCUCCCACAGUGCAGCGGCGGGCUGAAGGACUUCUCAAGCGCCGCCAGAGUGGGCGCCAAGGCCGAGGAGGCGCCGAGAGCGAGCAAGGGCUGUGAGGGCUGCCAGCAAGCUGUCACCUCUAUCACAAAAAAAAAAAAGAAAGAAAAAAGAAAACAAGAAUAAAGGACUUACAUGGAAAGAUCCUUGAAAAUCUCAAGCAACUCUUAUGAAGAAACCAUAUUUUUCUACAGAAAUUAGAGUCUUGUGCUUGUUGCCAGGCUGGAGUACAGUGGUGCGAUCUCGGCUCACUGCAACCUCUGCCUCCUGGGUUCCAGUGAUUCUCCUGCUUCAGCCACCCAAGUAGCUGGGACUACAGGUG
rnacentral:lncRNA from 10 species